GGUUGUGGCUCAGUGGUAGAGUGCUUGCCUAGCAUGCAUGAGGCUCUGGGUUUGAUCUCUAGCACCA
rnacentral:tRNA from 1 species